rnacentral:tRNA from 1 species
GGCAUGGCUCAGUGGCAGAGCAUCUGGUUUGUAUGCAGAAGAUCCCAAGUUCAGUCCCUGGCAUGUCCA